CAGGAUCUAGCGGCGGACGGGUGAGUAACACGUAGGCAACCUGCCCCUUAGUCUGGGAUAACUACCGGAAACGGUAGCUAAUACCGGAUAUUUCCUUUCCCCUCCUGGGGAGAGGAUGAAAGACGGAGUAAUCCGUCGCUGAGGGAUGGGCCUGCGGCGCAUUAGCUAGUUGGUGAGGUAACGGCUCACCAAGGCGACGAUGCGUAGCCGACCUGAGAGGGUGAACGGCCACUCUGGGACUGAGACACGGCCCAUACUCCUACGGGAGGCAGCAGUAGGGAAUCUUCCGCAAUGGGCGCAAGCCUGACGGAGCAAUGCCGCGUGAGUGAUGAAGGUUUUCGGAUCGUAAAGCUCUGUUGCCAGGGAAGAACGUCUUAUAGAGUAACUGCUAUAAGAGUGACGGUACCUGAGAAGAAAGCCCCGGCUAACUACGUGCCAGCAGCCGCGGUAAUACGUAGGGGG
rnacentral:rRNA from 1 species